GCAGUGGGUAGGUUGCUGUUACGCUGGGCUGCCCUAAGAUUUUAUAUUAUAUUUGCAUUUCCUUGAUUAAAUAUAUAACAAUAAAAGCCACGUUUCGGGCUAUUCCAGCCCUUUAUCAAGCCUUGAUAAAGGGCUGGAAUAGCCGGGAACUUUACUUUGCUUGUGGCACGAAUAAAUAUUUGAUUCACCGGAGUGCUGCUGCAUUUAUUGUUGUAUUGUGGAUAUACACCUUUGCAGAGAGGAACACAGCUGUGCACCCGAUGCUUCAGCAAGCGACAUAGUGUGGCACUAUUAUUGACUUUAUUACCCUUGAUUAAAUGUAAUACUUAUUUGUAACUGAGAUUUUACAGUUUUUAUGUGUUCAGUAUUGGUGGAAUAAUGGAUGGCAAACAGUGUCAGACUGCGGGUAUGACUACACUGCCCCCGCCCCCCAGUUUCAGCUCCUCUCCGAUGGCCCCUCAACCCAGGCACAACCCACUGACCUUGAUGGCAAAGAAAUCCAAACUGCUGCCCAGUUGUUAAGGAUGAUCACAUCGUAUUCACUUUCACACCUCAGACAGCAUCCAACCCAAAUAUUAACCUGACCUGUGAAGUAAUCUUAGUCUGCAUGAGUCCCUGUGCAACUUAUGGAUAACUGUGGCCUUUGUAUCCUCACAAGUAAAACUGAAAACACAUCCCGCCAUUGAGCAGAACAGAGAAUUUAAUAGCUGGUUCUGCUAAAAAUUUGUGCAUGUGAAAAAUGCAUUCUCAGCCUAGCCAAAUAAAAAUACAGUGUAUCUAUUAUCUAUCUAUCAAACA